rnacentral:rRNA from 1 species
UACGUAGGAUGCAAGCGUUGUCCGGAUUUAUUGGGUUUGAAGGGGGCGUAGGCGGCCUAUUAAGUUAGUGGUAAAAACGUUCGGCUUAACCGAAUACCCGCCAUUGAUACUGAUAGACUUGAGUGCGACAGAGGGUGUUGGAAUGUGUGGUGUAGCGGUGAAAUGCUUAGAUAUCACGCAGAACACCAAUUGCGAAGGCAGAUGCCUAUGUCGUAACUGACGCUGAGGCACGAAAGCGUGGGGAGCAAACAGG